GACGAACGCUGGCGGCGUGCCUAAUACAUGCAAGUAGAACGCACAGUUUAUACCGUAGCUUGCUACACCAUAGACUGUGAGUUGCGAACGGGUGAGUAACGCGUAGGUAACCUGCCUGGUAGCGGGGGAUAACUAUUGGAAACGAUAGCUAAUACCGCAUAAUAUUAAUUAUUGCAUGAUAAUUAAUUGAAAGGUGCAAUUGCACCACUACCAGAUGGACCUGCGUUGUAUUAGCUAGUAGGUGAGGUAACGGCUCACCUAGGCGACGAUACAUAGCCGACCUGAGAGGGUGAUCGGCCACACUGGGACUGAGACACGGCCCAGACUCCUACGGGAGGCAGCAGUAGGGAAUCUUCGGCAAUGGACGAAAGUCUGACCGAGCAACGCCGCGUGAGUGAAGAAGGUUUUCGGAUCGCAAAGCUCUGUUGUAAGAGAAGAACGGGUGUGAGGGUGGAAAGUUCACACUGUGACGGUAUCUUACCAGAAAGGGACGGCUAACUACGUG
rnacentral:rRNA from 1 species